UGCAGAAUCCCGUGAACCAUCGAGUCUUUGAACGCAAGUUGCGCCCGAAGCCUCGGCUGAGGGCACGUCUGCCUGGGUGUCACGCAUCGCGUUGCAUCCAAACCCUUCACCCUUCGGACGUUGCGGUGAUGGUCUGGAUGCGGAAGCUGGCCUCCCGUGGCCACGAGCCACGGAUGGCCCAAACACGUGCGAGGGAAGCGAAGCGCCACGGCAUUCGGUGGUUGAUCCAAGCCCCAGAAGCAGUGCCGGCGGUGGCCGCAUCUGUCCCUCGCCCACGACCCUAAACGUUAACCAACGCGACCUCAGGUCAGGCGGGGCUACCCGCUG
rnacentral:rRNA from 1 species